rnacentral:tRNA from 1 species
GAGAAGUUCUGGCAUUGGGAAGAAAAGCUUCUAACUUUUUUUUGUAGAGUUUGCAGCUUUAUACUUCUUU